ACAUCCCGUGCCCUAGCUCCCAAAGCCUCCGCCGACCUCUUCCUUCCUUGAUCCUAAACCUCUCACGAUGUUCUCUUCCUUCCUCUCCCUCAUGCACCGCCCUCUCCCGAUUCCUCAUUGUCGCGGACCAUCGAAUUCCGACGUCGAUGAGCUCUGAUCGCUGAUCGCCCAACACCGUUUGACGUUGUCUAAUCUCUCGGCCUGUCGCGGUGAUAGCUUCCAGCCCUCUCCGAUCUGCUGCUCACCCUUGAGCACCACUGCCUUUGCCGACGCUGUCGACUUGGAUUUGUGUUCGGGAUGAGCAACUCGACGUGGGACUACUUGACACGAUCUACGUGUAAAGAUGGUCGAGAGAGUCAUUAGCCAGGGCCGCACGCUCGGCCACUCGAGAGAGUGGUAGCUAGAGCAGAUGCCGCUUGUCUUGUCGUGUCGCACUCGGCCGCUCAUGGGUAGUGGUAGCUGGAGUUGCGAGCAGCAGGGACCCCCUUUACUUUAUUGCUAGUUAGCUACUCAGCACCUGUCCACUCGGUCACUCGAGAUUAAUGGUGGCCUUUGAGUGGUACAAUUGUCAUCGAUCUAGCCUCUCGACCAUACAGGGGUCGUGGUGCAAAGAGGUAGCAGGUAGAUAAAUCAUGGAUACUUGGGAGAGUUCUGGCUGACAAUCCAACGUCACAUCUGAAGACUGCAUCAGAUAAAGGAAAAGCUAAGAUAUGAAAGGGAGGCGAUAGGGUGGUGGUGGUGAUGAAGGUGUGUGAUGACUGGACAAUGGAGAGAUCCAGAGUUUGCUAGUAAAUCUUCAGGACCUAUCUGUUUAGAGUUUAUCUUUUAGUUCUCUUCUUAAAUACUAUUAUGAAAUUUUGUGAGAUUGUGAUUAAGUUUGAUUUGUAUUUGUAGCUUAUCAUGUCCUACUCUUGGAGUUAUGUUUAGUUCUUAUUGCUAGACUAGUUUUAGUUGAUUAUAGUGUGAUUUUGUUGUUAGCUAGAGCCCUAGAGCCAAUCAUUAGAUGAUUAUAUUUUGGACUUAUUGUAUCAUAUUCUAUAUAAAUAAAGGCAUUUGGAUUUUGGUUAUUA